rnacentral:rRNA from 1 species
UGAACGCUGGCGGUGCGCCUAAUACAUGCAAGUCGAACGAGAAACUGGAUUUAUUCAGUGGAAAGUGGCGAACGAGCGAGUAACACGUAAGUACCUGCCCUGUACUCAGGGACAACUUCUCGAAAGGGGAGCUAAUACCGGAUAGUCUCGAAAGAGUAAAGCUUUUGCGGUACGGGAGGGGCUUGCGGCUUAUCAGUUAGUUGGUGGGGUAAUGGCCUACCAAGACUAUGACGAGUAGCUGGUGUGAGAGCACGACCAGCCGCGAUGGGACUGAGACACGGCCCAUACUCCUACGGGAGGCAGCAGUAAGGAAUCUUCCGCAAUGGGCGAAAGCCUGACGGAGCGACACCGCGUGGUGGAUGAAGGCCUUCGGGUUGUAAACACCUUUUCUGGGGGAAGAAAAUCUGACGGUACCCCAGGAAUAAGGACCGGCUAAUUAC